UACGUAGGGGGCUAGCGUUGUCCGGAAUCAUUGGGCGUAAAGGGCGCGUAGGCGGCGUGACAAGUCACUUGUGAAAUCUCCGGGCUUAACUCGGAACGGUCAAGUGAUACUGUCGUGCUAGAGUACAGAAGGGGCAACUGGAAUUCUCGGUGUAGCGGUGAAAUGCGUAGAUAUGCGGAGGAACACCGAUGGCGAAGGCAAUCCCCUGGGCCUGCACUGACGCUCAUGCACGAAAGCGUGGGGAGCAAACAGG
rnacentral:rRNA from 1 species